UUCUUUUGGUUACAGAUAGCCGUAAAAAAGAAAUAUAUAUCCAUCAAGUUGGUAAAAAUUGGUGAGUUUUCUAAUUCUUGAUUCGAUCGUAAUUUGUGAGUUUUCUAAUUCGUGAUUCGAUAGUAAUUUGCUUUAAACAAAAACUACGGAUUGGUUGAAACAAAAUCACUCCAUUUUAACUAGUAUUUAGUCUGUUGCCGAGAGA